GGAGAGAUGUCCGAGUGGUCGAAGGAGCACGCCUGGAAAGCGUGUAUAGGGGCAACUCUAUCAGGGGUUCAAAUCCCUUCUCUCCGCCA
rnacentral:tRNA from 1 species